rnacentral:rRNA from 1 species
GCGGUCCCACCUGACCCCAUGCCGAACUCAGCAGUGAAACGCCGUAGCGCCGAUGGUAGUGUGGGGUCUCCCCAUGUGAGAGUAGGGAACUGCCAGGC